rnacentral:rRNA from 1 species
CACGUAGGAGGAAAACGUUAUCCGGAUUUACUGGGCGUAAAGCGCGUGUAGGUGGUUCUGUAAGUAGGGCGUGAAAGCUCCCGGCUCAACUGGGAGAGGCCGUUCUAAACUGCAGAGCUAGAGGAUGGUAGAGGGAGGUGGAAUUCCAGGUGUAGCGGUGGAAUGCGCAGAUAUCUGGAGGAACACCAGUGGCGAAGGCGGCCUCCUGGACCAUUCCUGACACUCAGACGCGAAAGCUAGGGUAGCAAACGGGAUUAGAUACCCCUCGUAGUCCCUCGA